UGCAAUCACAGACAGGUGUUCGUCAUUUGAACUUGACCCGCUUACUCACCGCCUGGCUCCGCCCUCGCUCUCCCACCGCAGAUCUCGCCAAACCACUCACCCCUCGCCACAAUCUUCAUUCGAGCCCAGCUGAUGUUCUCUUCCAGUUUUCCGAGCAAUUUCCUGGUACAUGGAGCAGUGGUGGUCAGUGUAGUGAUGUCAUCCAUAACAGCUCUGAGGGAAGGAAGACGUGUGCUUAAGUUAAGCUGCUGCCCACCAACUACCCAUUUUGAUGCCCGGAUGAUGACCUCCAUUGCCAUUGUAAAGGCCAAGGGUGAGAUGGUACGUCCUGCCAUGAUGCCAACAUCCAAUGAUUGCCAAGACGUGGUAAAAUCAGCAGUGGUAAAGCAGAACUGUAGGUCUUGGAAGUAGGAUUUAACCAGGGUUAUAAUGGUGUCCGGAAUGUGAAAGAAGGUGAAGGCAGCCCACAGGAGUGCAUGGGGCACUGACCCAAAAGCGAGGUCCAAAAAGACGACAUGGAGGUCCUUUUUCCUCACCUUUGCGGUCUGGAUCUGGUGCCAGAUCAUGCUAGAGUGUUCCAAGCAUUCAGAACAGCCUGAGAUUCCUGCUUUCUGUACUGAUGUAUCAAUGUACUUAUUCCUUUGAAUGUAUUCAGACAUCCUUUUAGCAAUGAUGCUGAAGAAGAUUUUACCCUCUACAUUUAGAAAGGAUAUUGGCCGAAACUGGCUAAUGUUCUCCGCCUUCUUCUCCUUUGGGAUCAGGACCCCUCCUGCCCUACGCCAUACUUUGGGCACAAUCUUCCUCUGCCACACCGUUCUCAUGAGCUUCCAAAGAACCCUUAGGACACGCGGUGCAUUCUUGUACACCUUGUAUGGGACUCCAUUAGGACCUGGGGCUGAUGCCGCCCUUGCCCGUUGUACUACCUUUUCCACUUCUCUCCAGAUCGGGGGACCAGUCUCCAUCUGAUGUUCUGGUGAGUUGAUUGGUGGGAUGUCUGGUGGAAUGGUCAUCCGUUCAUGCCGUCUUGGAUCAGAGUGUGUCGCUUUCAGGUGAUCUUCCAGGUCUUUCCUUGCUGCCUUCAGAAAUCCACUUUUCUCUCUAGUGAAUAGGCUUUUCAAUCCAGCUGAUCCUCCUUUUUUGCCACAGCCCCUCCCCCUCAACGUGUCCACUGUCCCUGUUUACCAAGAGAAACUGCCUUGAUCCACCUUGCUACUUUUUCCUGUCGGUGUAUUUCCUCCACCACCAAUGUCUUCCUUUCUGAUGCCGUGGCUCUAUUCCAGGCUGGUGGCCUAGUUGUUAACCCAAAGCCUCCCCUUCCCUGCUAGACAUGCCCCACUAUGUCCGCAAGUCUGAGAGUGGCUGCUGCCUCUUCCACUGCACUGGUUGGUGUCCAUUUGCGGCCUGCCACCAAGGUUGGUGCAUUGUUACUCACCAUUGCAUCACAAGAAUCCAUCAGUGUCAUCUGGAGUCUUACUUUAGCACAUUUGAAUUCCUCCGUGAAACUGGUGAGGGGCAGUUUGAGGGCGCUAUCUCCAUAGAGGCCUAUGGUGGUUAGGCAUUGAGGCACUCCAAGCCAUUUCUUGAUGCAGCCUGUGAUUCCUCUUUCCAACUUCUCCACUGUUGAGAUUGGGACCUCAAAAAUGGCAAGUGGCCACAGCUCUCGGGGAAGAAGGCCAAACUGUAAACACCAGGCCUUCAGUCUUCCAGGGAGCUGAGUGUUGUUGAUGGCCUGGAGCCCACUUCUGAUUUCUUUUUGCAGCUGCUGUACCUGAUCUUUAUCCUUCAGGCUGGCAUCAUACCACCUUCCAAGGCUCUUAACAGGCUGGUCAGACACUGUUGGGAUAGGCUCCUCUCCAAUGAAGAAUCUGUAGUUGGAGAGCACUCCCUUGACAAUGGAGAUGCUACGUGACUGAUGGCUUUAUCUUCAUUCGAGCCCAGCUGAUGUUCUCUUCCAGUUUUCCGAGCAGUUUCCUGGUACAUGGAGCAGUGGUGGUCAGUGUAGUGAUGUCAUCCAUAAAGGCUCUGAGGGGAGGAAGACGUGUGCCCAAGUUAAGCUGCUGCCCACCAACUACCCAUUUUGAUGCCCGGAUGAUGACCUCCAUUGCCAUUGUAAAGGCUAAGGGUGAGAUGGUACGUCCUGCCAUGAUGCCAACCUCCAAUGAUUGCCAAGACGUGGUAAAAUCAGCUGUGGUAAAGCAGAACUGCAGGUCUUGGAAGUAGGAUUUAACCAGGGUUAUAAUGGUGUCCGGAAUGUGAAAGAAGGUGAAGGCAGCCCACAGGAGUUCAUGGGGCACUGACCCAAAAGCGAGGUCCAAAAAGAUGACAUGGAGGUCCUUUUUCCUCACCUUUGCGGUCUGGAUCUGGUGCCAGAUCAUGCUAGAGUGUUCCAAGCAUCCAGAACAGCCUGAGAUUCCUGCUUUCUGUACUGAUGUAUCAAUGUACUUAUUCCUUUGAAUGUAUUCAGACAUCCUUUUAGCAAUGAUGCUGAAGAAGAUUUUACCCUCUACAUUUAGAAAGGAUAUUGGCCGAAACUGGCUAAUGUUCUCCGCCUUCUUAUCCUUUGGGAUCAGGACCCCUCCUGCCCUACGCCAUACUUUGGGCACAAUCUUCCUCUGCCACACCGUUCUCAUGAGCUUCCAAAGAACCCUUAGGACACGCGGUGCAUUCUUGUACACCUUGUAUGGGACUCCAUUAGGACCUGGGGCUGAUGCCGCCCUUGCCCGUUGUACUACCUUUUCCACUUCUCUCCAGGUCGGAGGACCAGUCUGCAUCUGAUGUUCUGGUAAGUUGAUUGGUGGGAUGUCUGGUGGAAUGGUCAUCCGUUCAUGCCGUCUUGGAUCAGAGUGUGUCGCUUUCAGGUGAUCUUCCAGGUCUUUCCUUGCUGCCUUCAGAAAUCCACUUUUCUCUCUAGUGAAGAGGCUUUUCAAAAACUUGAAGGGGUCUUUAUAGAACUGUGUUCUAGAUCUUUCUUUUUUUCUCUGUUUUUCCACAGGUUUUUUUGCUCUUUGGAGGGAUGCCAAUCGGUCUUUCAUGUCAGCUUGAAGCACCUCGAUGCCUUCCCUUUCCCCCUCCAAGGCUUUCUUCCACUGCUUCCGAAGUUGCCUCUUUGUUGGAUGUGGUGCUUGAUCUCUUUUUGCCUUCUGGAGGUUGGCGCAGUUGGAGACCUUUUCUGGCUGUAUAAACAGAUACAGGUUUUAUACAGGUCAUCAUCUGAAAAUGAGUCAGAUGAAGUCUGGGAGCCAGUCAGUAGAGGAAGAAAUACUGAGGGUCAUGACAGUACCUCAUCGGAGGAAGGACCCCAUCCUUCACCUUCCCUUCCAUAUAUAUAUAUAUAUAUUCUUAUAUUAAUAUUCUAAUAUUAAAGUGUUUUAAUU